rnacentral:rRNA from 1 species
UGAGGAAUAUUGGGCAAUGCCCGCAAGGGUGACCCAGCAACGCCGCGUGGAGGAUGAAUGUCGUAAGAUUGUAAACUCCUGUUAGAGGGGAAGAAUAGUACCGGUUGGACCGGUAUAUGACUGUACCCUCAGAGAAAGCCCCGGCUAACUACGUGCCAGCAGCCGCGGUAAUACGUAGGGGGCAAGCGUUGUCCGGAUUUACUGGGUGUAAAGGGCGCGCAGGCGGGAUAAAAAGUCAGUGGUGAAAUCCUACAGCUUAACUGUAGAACUGCCUUUGAGACUUUUAUUCUUGAGUUCGGGAGAGAGAGACGGAAUUCCAGGUGUAGUGGUGAAAUACGUAGAUAUCUGGAAGAACACCAGUUGCGAAGGCGGUCUCUUGGUCCGACACUGACGCUGAGGCGCGAAAGCGUGGGGAGCAAACA